CCGGAUGUUUGGUUCUCUGUGGUUUCCGCCUCACUACUGCCGGGAUGUACUAUUUCCUCUCUCAGUGCGUAAAACCAGACUGGCUGGACUUAUCACUUAGGGUCAACUCCACUGUCAGCAACUGCUAACUUAUGCAGUUUUAAGAAAGCAUCUGAAUUUGGACAGCAAGGCAUUUCUCGUGACACUUGACAUGCACCCACUGACAUGGAUCCAAUAAGGACCUGAAGGAAGAGAAACACAAGCAUAUCCCCAUCCCCAGGUAAGCAGAGGAACUGGUCCUGCCCAUUGACCAGAUUCCAAAUUCUUAUAAAACACCUGGGGCUUCACAGUAGAGGAUUCUCCAGCUCUAAAAUGUCUACCUACCAUGGAACUAUAUUGUUUAGACCCAGACAGAUUAAGAAAAUUUGAAACAUAAGUAGCUUUGUCCAAUAUUUCCUGCAGUGUUGUUCCUACAGGAUUCCCCCUUUUCAUUUAUCAAUAAGAGAUUUCAAAGAAUGGUGGGCGCAUUCUAUAAUCGCCUGACCAGCUGGAGAAUGUGGGAUUCCAGUAAUAUGUUCAAUUCCCCAAUCCUGCAAAAAUAAGAGAAAACGGUGAGAAACAUAAGCUGAUCCAUUGUCUGUCUUUAUCUUCUGGGAACCCCCAUGGUUGCAAAACAUUGCAAAAACUGUUUCACAACAUCCUGGGCCCAUUCCCCGGAAUGAACAGUGGCUAUUAAAAACCCAGAGAAGGUAUUGAUAGAAAUGUGGACAUACUUAAGUCAUGCAAAGGAAGAAAUGUGUGUGACAUCUGAUUGCCACAAGUCAUUUGCAUUUAAACCUCUAGGAUUAGUUCCAGGCAAAACAGGUAAUGGAGAAAGCCGCUGACAAUCCAGGCAUGCCCGAAUUAUGUCCUGAGCUUGUUCAGCUGUUAGAGAAAAAUGUUUCCGUAAGGAGUAUGCAUUUUGAUGAAAAAAUUCAUGAGCCCAUUUGGCUUGCUCAAAAUGCCGAGGAGAAACUGGAGCCAUUGUAAAUCGAUCUGCUAUUGCAUUACCUUCAGCAAGAGGUCCUGGUAGGUUAGCGUGAGAUCGAAUAUGGAUGACAAAAUAGAAAUAUUGUCUCAUUUUUUAAAUCUGUGCCAGUUUUAACAAUAAAUCAAAUAACUGUUUGUUGUCCACCUCCCGUAUAAAAGCAGAUUCUAAAUGCUGAAUAAUACCCGUGACGUAUGCAGAAUCUGCAACUAUAUUAAGAGGUUCCCUGGAAAAGAAUUCAAAAGCACGAACUGCUGCAGCUAAUUCCACAAUUUGUGUAGACCCAGAUAGAUGCAAAACAUCUGAGGCCCAUUCUUCACAGUCUGUUUGUCGCCAAACAACUGCAACUUUACCUGUUUUACCAGAACCAUCAAUAAAUACAGUACGUGCAUUUUGCAAAGGAACAGAACUCAACAAAGAUUGUGGUUGGAGAGGUAAGCAGUGUAAAGAACCUAAUAAAUGAUGACGUGGCAGAGAAUGCAAAACAGCAUUAGUAUAAUCAGCCAAGUGUCAUGGUUUUAGCUGGGAUAGAGUUAAUUUUCUUCACUCUAGCUGGUAUAGUGCUGUGCUGUGAACUUAGCAUGGAAAAAAAAAUGUUGAGAUAACACACAGAUGUUUUGGGCUGUUGCUGGGUAGCGCUUGUACUAGUCAAGGACAUGUCUAGCUUCCCAUGCUCUGCUGGGUGCACAAGAAGCUGGGAGGGGAGGGGGCACAGCUAAGAGAGCGGAUUCAAACUGACCAAAGGGAUAUUCCAUAUCAUGUAACGUCAUGCCCAGUAUGCUACCUGGGAGGAGCUGGCCAGGGGAGGGAGGAAGCAAUCAUGGCUCGGGGACGGGCAGCAUCGGUCGGCAGGUGGUGAGUGGUUGUAUCGUUCGUGUUUCUGUGGGAUUUUUUCCCUUUUUUCCCUUUCCCUUCCUUUUCCAUUUUAUUAUAUUAACAUUAUUGUCAUUAUUAUCAUAAUCAUUUAUCAUUAUCAUUUUAUUGUAAUCAUUAAACUGUGUUUAUCUCAAC